rnacentral:rRNA from 1 species
AUUGAACGCUGGCGGCAGGCUUAACACAUGCAAGUCGAGCGGGGGAAGGUAGCUUGCCACCGGACCUAGCGGCGGACGGGUGAGUAAUGCUUAGGAAUCUGCCUAUUAGUGGGGGACAACAUCUCGAAAGGGAUGCUAAUACCGCAUACGUCCUACGGGAGAAAGCAGGGGAUCUUCGGACCUUGCGCUAAUAGAUGAGCCUAAGUCGGAUUAGCUAGUUGGUGGGGUAAAGGCCUACCAAGGCGACGAUCUGUAGCGGGUCUGAGAGGAUGAGCCGCCACACUGGGACUGAGACACGGCCCAGACUCCUACGGGAGGCAGCAGUGGGGAAUAUUGGACAAUGGGGGGAACCCUGAUCCAGCCAUGCCGCGUGUGUGAAGAAGGCCUUAUGGUUGUAAAGCACUUUAAGCGAGGAGGAGGCUACUUUAGUUAAUACCUAGAGAUAGUGGACGUUACUCGCAGAAUAAGCACCGGCUAACUCUGUGCCAGCAGCCGCCGUAA